rnacentral:tRNA from 3 species
GCGGGGAUUGCCAAGUUUGGUCAAAGGCGAUGGGCUCAGAACCCAUUCUCGUAGGAGUUCGGGAGUUCAAAUCUCCCUUCCCGCA